rnacentral:rRNA from 1 species
AUUACCUUAGUAACGGCGAGUGAAGCGGUAAAAGCUCAAAUUUGAAAUCUAGUACCUUCGGUGCUCGAGUUGUAAUUUGUAGAGGGAUACUUUGGGGCCGUUCCUUGUCUAUGUUCCUUGGAACAGGACGUCAUAGAGGGUGAGAAUCCCGUGUGGCGAGGAGUGCGGUUCUAUGUAAAGUGCUCUCGAAGAGUCGAGUUGUUUGGGAAUGCAGCUCUAAGUGGGUGGUAAAUUCCAUCUAAAGCUAAAUAUUGGCGAGAGACCGAUAGCGAACAAGUACAGUGAUGGAAAGAUGAAAAGAACUUUGAAAAGAGAGUGAAAAAGUACGUGAAAUUGUUGAAAGGGAAGGGCAUUUGAUCAGACAUGGUGUUUUGUGCCCUCUGCUCCUUGUGGGUGGGGGAAUCUCGCAGCUCACUGGGCCAACAUCAGUUUUGGCGGCAGGAUAAAUCUAUAGGAAUGUAGCUUGCUUCGGGAAGUGUUAUAGCCUGUGGGAAUACUGCCAGCCGGGACUGAGGACUGCGACUUUGUCAAGGAUGUUGGCAUAAUGGUUAAAUGCCGCC